UCAAUGUUCUGGAAUGGGAAAACUCCAAGGUUGAUCAUCUCGGAUCCAGAACUAAUGAAAGAAGUACUGUUUAACAAGCAAGGUCACAUUCAAAAGCCGCCAGUAAGCCCGCUUAUUCUCAUUCUUGCAAGAGGACUGACUCUUCUAGAUGGUGAGAAAUGGGCUCUACACCGAAGAUUGAUAAAUCCUGCUUUCCACCUAG
rnacentral:misc_RNA from 1 species